UGGCUAUCACAGAUGAACAAUUCAAAGUGAAUCCAGGAUUGGGUGCUGUUGUUAACCUGCAAGAAUGGGCUUAACCAGACCUGAGCCUAUUACUGGAAACAGCAACCACCAGAGAAUGUGGCACAGGGUUCCAAACAGGACUGA